rnacentral:tRNA from 1 species
GCCGGGGUGUUGAAAUGGCAGACAAGCAAGUCUCAAAAACUUGUGAGGGCAACCUCGUGAGGGUCCGACUCCCUCUCCCGGCA